UGGUACCUUAGCUCAGUUGGUAGAGCAUCGGACUGAAAAUCCGUGUGUCCCCAGUUCAAGUCUGGGAGGUACCACCCA
rnacentral:tRNA from 1 species